ensembl:lncRNA
AAGCAGUAUGGAGGAGAUUCAAGGUAUGCUGCUUUUGCUCAUGGUGUAUUGGUUUACUAAAGAAAUAAUAAAACCAAAUGGCGGAAAACAGACGAGCACUGAUAGUAAAGCGUAUUCAGAAAGCUCGUAAUUCUCGAUAUAAAAUGAGACAAUGUGUCUUAUCAGCUACUGCAGACAUCGACCGUGAGAUGGCUGGGACCAACGAGUGCCAUCGGGCAGAAAGAACAAGAUUGAUUUGUGAGUACUAUCGAACGCGUCGUGUUUUGCCAUCAGUUUGGGUACACAAUAGAACAACUGCAUGGUGGGACAGCGUGGUUUCUACUUUCACCGAAGCCCAGUGGAUAAAAAAUUUCCAGAUGUCUAAGGAUACUUUCUGUACCUCUGUCGUCGAUUGCAACCUUAACUGGAGAGACAAGACACCAACUACAGACUUGUGUACCCAUCCAAAAAAGAUUAGCCAAUGCACUGUGGAAACUAGCAACCAACUCAGAGUACAGAAGCAUCUCUCAUUUAUUUGGAGUCGGAGUUGCUACUGUGUGUCACUAUGUUCAUGAUUUCUGCUCAGCUGUUGGGAAGGUACUCAUGUAAGAAGUUAUUCAGUUACCAAACAGUGAAAAGUUGAAAGAAAUGGAUUCAUAUUUUGAAUGCAGAUGGGGGUUGCCACAGUGUGUAGUACUUCAACCGAAAGGGCUGGCAUUCAAUCAUCCUGCAGGCUGUUGUGGAUGGAAGGGGUCUUUUUUGGAAUGUCUUUGUUGGAGCACCAGGACGCCUGCAUGAUGCCAGAGUGCUGUGUUUGUCAGGUUUGUGGGGCCUAGUGGAUAGGGGAUUGUUACUACCUGAUGUAACAAAGAACAUUUGUGGACAUGGUGUGGGGUACUUUGUCCUUGGUGAUGCAGCCUAUCCUUUGAAGAGCUGGCUGAUGAAACCUUUUACCGACAACGGACAACUGACACCCCAAAAACUUGUGUACAACCAAAAAACAAGCAGAGCCAGGGUGGUGGUGGAGAAUGCUUUUGGCAGACUAAAGGGAAGAUGGAGGUUGGAUCUAAACUCUGCAGGACACCGGCCCUCCAGUGGGGGCACCUCUGGUAUAAAGAAUAAAUAAACCAGUCUUAUAUAAUAUGCAUGCAC